rnacentral:miRNA from 1 species
AGUGCACAUGGGGUGGUACUGUG